rnacentral:rRNA from 1 species
CUACACAUGCAGUCGAGCGCACCUUCGGGUGAGCGGCGGACGGGUUAGUAACGCGUGGGAACAUACCCUUUUCUACGGAAUAGCCUCGGGAAACUGAGAGUAAUACCGUAUAAGCCCUUCGGGGGAAAGAUUUAUCGGGAAAGGAUUGGCCCGCGUUAGAUUAGAUAGUUGGUGGGGUAAUGGCCUACCAAGUCUACGAUCUAUAGCUGGUUUUAGAGGAUGAUCAGCAACACUGGGACUGAGACACGGCCCAGACUCCUACGGGAGGCAGCAGUGGGGAAUCUUAGACAAUGGGCGCAAGCCUGAUCUAGCCAUGCCGCGUGUGUGAUGAAGGUCUUAGGAUCGUAAAGCACUUUCGCCAGGGAUGAUAAUGACAGUACCUGGUAAAGAAACCCCGGCUAACUCCGUGCCAGCAGCCGCGGUAAUACGGAGGGGGUUAGCGUUGUUCGGAAUUACUGGGCGUAAAGCGUACGUAGGCGGAUUGGAAAGUUGGGGGUGAAAUCCCAGGGCUCAACCCUGGAACUGCCUCCAAAACUAUCAGUCUAGAGUUCGAGAGAGGUGAGUGGAAUUCCAAGUGUAGAGGUGAAAUUCGUAGAUAUUUGGAGGAACACCAGUGGCGAAGGCGGCUCACUGGCUCGAUACUGACGCUGAGGUACGAAAGUGUGGGGAGCAAACAGGAUUAGAUACCCUGGUAGUCCACACCGUAAACGAUGAAUGCCAGUCGUCGGGCAGUAUACUGUUCGGUGACACACCUAACGGAUUAAGCAUUCCGCCUGGGGAGUACGGUCGC